GGAAACGGGUGGUAAUGCCGGAUGUUCCAGUUGAUCGCAUGGUCUUCUGGGAAAGCUUUCGCGGUAUGGGAUGGGGUCGCGUCCUAUCAGCUUGACGGCGGGGUAACGGCCCACCGUGGCUUCGACGGGUAGCCGGCCUGAGAGGGCGACCGGCCACAUUGGGACUGAGAUACGGCCCAGACUCCUACGGGAGGCAGCAGUGGGGAAUAUUGCACAAUGGGCGCAAGCCUGAUGCAGCGACGCCGCGUGAGGGAUGGAGGCCUUCGGGUUGUAAACCUCUUUUAUCGGGGAGCAAGCGUGAGUGAGUUUACCCGUUGAAUAAGCACCGGCUAACUACGUGCCAGCAGCCGCGGUAAUACGUAGGGUGCAAGCGUUAUCCGGAAUUAUUGGGCGUAAAGGGCUCGUAGGCGGUUCGUCGCGUCCGGUGUGAAAGUCCAUCGCUUAACGGUGGAUCCGCGCCGGGUACGGGCGGGCUUGAGUGCGGUAGGGGAGACUGGAAUUCCCGGUGUAACGGUGGAAUGUG
rnacentral:rRNA from 1 species